rnacentral:rRNA from 1 species
AUUGAACGCUGGCGGCAGGCCUAACUCAUGAAAGUCGAGCGAGCGGCGGACGGGGGAGUAAUGUCUGGGAAACUGCCUGAUGGAGGGGGAUAACUACUGGAAACGGUAGCUAAUACCGCAUACCAUCAGAUGUGCUCAGAUGGGAUUAGCUAGUAGGUGGGGUAACGGCUCACCUAGGCGACGAUCCCUAGCUGGUCUUAGGGGAUUACCCGCCCCACUGGAACUGAGACACGGUCCACACUCCACCGCGCUCCCUCCUUUGUUUCUUUUACCCCCUAUACUCAAGCCUGCUUCAGCCAUGCAGCGUGUGUGAACAAUUCCUUCUGUUUUUCCCGCACUUUCAGCGGGGAGGCGUUACCCGCAGAAGAAGCACCGGCUAACUCCGUGCCAGCAGCCGCGGUAAUUC